CAAGAUUAGUCUACUCACUGAUAGACAUGAAUAACCCCAAAAUCAUGGAUGAUUCAAGGUUAAACAUGAUUAGUGAGCAAGAUAAUCACACAAACACAAAGAAUAUAGAUGGAAAAUGAUUCAAGAUCCAAAUUUUCUUUAAAGAGGUUUAUGUGUUCUUAGAGAGAAAAGAAGAUUAGUCUCAACUUGGGGAUUACAAGAGUAUUUAUAUGGUCUUUGGAAAGCAUAAUGGUUUCCAUAGAAAAGUCUAAAAUGCCUUUUAAAAAUGUUGAUUUCGGCCAAGGUAAAGACGCGACCCGGGUAGAUGCCAUGGUCGCAACCCGCGUCGGCCAAUCCGCGUCAGCUCCUCGUCCAGCUUCCUGGGAGGCCGCCCGGGUAACCUAACCCGCGUCCAUCUACACGUGCCGGCCCUCUCGUCCAGCUUCCUCUUCUCGCGCCCGGGUAAGGGAACCCGAGUUGGUCCAACCCGCGUCAUGGUUGAUAUGCCUCUAGUAAAUCGAUCAUAACUCCUCCAAUACAGCUUCAAAUGACUUGAAACCACUUCCAUUAGAAAGAUAACUCAAUUUCACACGUCACCCCAAAACAUGAGCUUCAAAAGAUAUCUUUAAGGUCUCCAUCCAUGUUCAUCUUUCACCGUUUUGCACCACAAAUGUCUCUAAACACCUCCAAGAAAUCCAUAGCACACUCCAGCCCCUAAUAAAGAUCCAUGUAUGCAAAAUGGUCCCUAAAGAUGCCUAAUUCCUAAUCUACAUGAUCAUUAUGUACAAGAAAUGAUGGUUAAAACCAUGUAAAUAUGCAAGAUAUCACAUUCCCAUCCUUUUGGCUUCCCACAGGAGAAGACAUUUGGGAACAUCGUUUGGAAAACUUAGAGUUCUUUCUUUACGUGCACCUAGGCCUACCUGCACCUAAAACAAACAGAGAUGAAAGGAGUGUUCAGAAAAAUGUCCAGAUUAAUACAGAGUUAGCCAGAAUACCAUGAACGCACAUGAGGCGGAAGCAGCUGCAGAACAGGCAGUUUCUAAGGUAGAAGCUGCCAUGACAGCGGGUGAAGAAGCUGCAAAGGAAGCAGAUGCAGCAGAAGUUGCUCGAGCUUAUGCCGAAGAAGCUUCAAAGACACUGAAAGGAAAAAAACAUCUGCAAAGUGGUAAAC
rnacentral:lncRNA from 1 species